AUUUACUGAACUGGUUGACUAAUUUCGGAGAUCCAAUUGUAAUAUAAAACCAUACUUGGUGGUUUUUAGUUACUCUCCAUGUUAAGACACCUAAGACAACUCUUGGUGCGUAGGGUACAAGUGCCACGGUUUCGAUUAAUUGGAAAAAAGGCUUUGCUCGAAUCAACAGAUGUAAGCAAAAAGCUUGAAUUGGGGUCGAACUGGUGUUCGGUGUCCAUUUUCCAAGUGGGAAGCCGAACUUUUAAUAUAUAAUGGGACAGUAGACUGAAAUUUUGGAAUGUUUUUUUGCAGCACUAAAGCUAAAGAUACAGAGUUUGACUAUAUGUGAUUGGAUCCGGUGGAAUUUUGAAAAUACGAUAUGAUGUUGAAAUGUAAGGUAUAGUAAUCUGAUGUCUCUUUGAGCUAAUAUGUUUUUGUGUACC